UUCAACCCUAGCUCUAAUUUUACGGCAUUCUUCUCUUUCUCCUCCAUUCUACGACGCCGACUGAGUAUAGAUCUCUCCUCCAAUCUGGCGUUCUGUCCUCCAAUCCGGCAUACUUUCCUGGAGCAUCUCCGGUGGAAGAGAUCUCUGGCAGAUGAUUCGUGGAGUUUGUCAGAUAUGGAGUGAGUCAAUAUUUGUGUGCUUCACUUCAGAUUGGUUUUUCAAGUUCUCAGCACUACCAAUAAGACCAAGCUAGAUGAAGAACUAACAAGAGCAUCCUACAGAAUCCGUGUUAGCUUUGAAUCAUGAUAAGAAAAAGUGCUUGCGUUAUAGUCUGACCCUAAACUCUGUUAUCUGGAUGAAGGCUAUUCUCAAUGGCCCAAGGGACGGGUUGGUUGAUUUUGCUGAGUCUCGGGCCAGUAGUGAUAAAGAAGUUGAUCUUGUCCUCAAUAGAUCCGUGGUAGAAACUAUACGUUUGGAGACGAGGAGUAGGAGAGGGUACAAUAAAUUAUUCUCGAACUUCUUGCUGGUGGAGGAAAGGGUUGUCACACUUAUUUGAGGAGCAAAGUUAUGAGAUUUAGAGCUUAAAGUUGAAGUGAAGAUAUAAACUCUAAAGAUAUUCUUUCAACCUUUUUGGAUAAAUGCUAGAAUCAGAGACUCUCUUCUCCCUCCUAUCUUCCCAUUGGGACACAAAGCAGAAUCUGCUCAUGAAAUGAGCACUAGAAUUAGUCAUUUAAGAGUGAAAAAAGGAAGCAAGAAUUAUUCGAGCAAAGGCGCGGGAAAAAAUGGGAGAUGGGAGAGAUGAUGAAGCAGUUUAUGACUAAUACUUGUGAGGUUCUAUCAUGAUUCUAUCCAAGCAGCCCCAAUAAUCAAGUCGCGCUCCAGAUUUGAUGAUGAUGUAUCUGCAUAGAAUUGAUGUCUCACGAACUAAGUUCAAAACUCGAUACUUUAUGUUUCUUUUUGCUUUCGUACGUUAGUUGUAUAUUGACUAAUACUUUUGAGGUUUUAUCUAUCAUGUUUCUCA